ensembl:misc_RNA Y_RNA Y RNA
GGCAACAUCCAGGAAGGAGUGUUUACAACUCAUUGAUUACAACUAGUUACAGAUUUGUUUCUUCUCCACUCCCACUGCUUCCCUUGACUAGCCUUUA